rnacentral:rRNA from 1 species
UUUAGUGGCGAACGGGUGCGUAACACGUGGGCAAUCUGCCGAGAAGUGGGGGAUAGCUCGCCGAAAGGCGAAUUAAUACCGCAUAUGAUCAGGGACGACAUCGUUCCAACAUCAAAGCCGGGGCAACCUGGCGCUUCUUGAUGAGCCCGCGGCCUAUCAGCUAGUUGGUGAGGUAACGGCCCACCAAGGCUAUGACGGGUAGCUGGUCUGAGAGGACGACCAGUCACACUGGAACUGAGACACGGUCCAGACACCUACGGGUGGCAGCAGUCGAGAAUUUUUCUCAAUGGGGGCAACCCUGAAGGAGCGACGCCGCGUGGAGGAUGAAGGCUUUCGGGUUGUAAACUCCUGUCAUUUGAGAACAAGUGGCCGAACUUAACUACUUCGGCCUUGAUAGUAUCAGAAGAGGAAGGGACGGCUAACUCUGUGCCAGCAGCCGCGGUAAUACAGAGGUCCCAAGCGUUGUUCGGAUUCAUUGGGCGUAAAGGGUGCGUAGGUGGCGUGGUAAGUCGGGUGUGAAAUUUCGGAGCUUAACUCCGAAACUGCAUUCGAUACUGCCGUGCUUGAGGACUGGAGAGGAGACUGGAAUUUACGGUGUAGCAGUGAAAUGCGUAGAGAUCGUAAGGAAGACCAGUGGCGAAGGCGGGUCUCUGGACAGUUCCUGACACUGAGGCACGAAGGCCAGGGGAGCAAACGGGAUUAGAUACCCCGGUAGUCCUGGCAGUAAACGGUGCACGUUUGGUGUGGGAGGAUUCGACCCCUUCCGCGCCGGAGCUAACGCGUUAAACGUGCCGCCUGG